CAGCAGUCAGUCCCAGCCAGCACCCAGCAUGGACAUGAGGACCCUUGCUCAGCUCCUGGGGCUCCUGCUGCUCUGGCUUCCAGGAGCCAGAUGUGACAUCCAGAUGACCCAGUCUCCAGCCUCCCUGUCUGCAUCUCCAGGAGACACAGUCUCCAUCACUUGCCAGGCCAGUCAGGGCAUUAACAACUGGUUAGCUUGGUAUCAGCAGAAACCAGGGAAAGCUCCCAAGCUCCUGAUCUAUGGUGCAAAGUAUUUACAAUCUGGGAUCCCCUCUAGAUUUAGUGGCAGUGGAUCUGGGACAGAGUGCACUCUCACCAUCAGCAGCCUGCAGCCUGAAGAUGUUGCCACUUAUUACUGUCAAGAGUAUUGGAGUACUACUCCCACAGGGGAUUCUCCAGGCCUCACCUCAGUUCAGAUGUCAGCCUGCUUGUGUCAAGAAAGACUAAAUCUCUUCUGUUUUCCAUCUAUUAAGAAGUCUCCUGAUGAUACAAAUGUGCAGGAAACCAGAGAUAGAAAAAGAGUUCAGAAAUGGCUUCCACAGCAACCAUAA